GACGAUCAGUAGCCGACCUGAGAGGGUGGCCGGCCACAUUGGGACUGAGACACGGCCCAAACUCCUACGGGAGGCAGCAGUGGGGAAUAUUGCACAAUGGGGGAAACCCUGAUGCAGCAACGCCGCGUGAGUGAAGAAGUAUUUCGGUAUGUAAAGCUCUAUCAGCAGGGAAGAGAAUGACGGUACCUGACUAAGAAGCCCCGGCUAACUACGUGCCAGCAGCCGCGGUAAUACGUAGGGGGCGAGCGUUAUCCGGAUUUACUGGGUGUAAAGGGAGCGUAGACGGUUCUGCAAGUCUGAAGUGAAAGCCCGUGGCUUAACCGCGGAACGGCUUUGGAAACUGUGGAACUGGAGUGCUGGAGAGGCAAGCGGAAUUCCUAGUGUAGCGGUGAAAUGCGUAGAUAUUAGGAGGAACACCAGUGGCGAAGGCGGCUUGCUGGACAGUAACUGACGUUGAGGCUCGAAAGCGUGGGGAGCAAACAGGAUUAGAUACCCUGGUAGUCCACGCGGUAAACGAUGAAUGCUAGGUGUCGGGGAGCAAAGCUCUUCG
rnacentral:rRNA from 1 species